rnacentral:rRNA from 1 species
UACGUAGGUGGCAAGCGUUGUCCGGAGUUAUUGGGCGUAAAGAGCUCGUAGGCGGUUUGUUGCGUCGGCUGUGAAAUCCCGAGGCUCAACCUCGGGUCUGCAGUCGAUACGAGCAAACUAGAGUGUUGCAGGGGAGACUGGAAUUCCUGGUGUAGCGGUGAAAUGCGCAGAUAUCAGGAGGAACACCGGUGGCGAAGGCGGGUCUCUGGGCAACAACUGACGCUGAGGAGCGAAAGCGUGGGGAGCGAACAGG